rnacentral:rRNA from 1 species
UACGUAGGGAGCAAGCGUUGUCCGGAAUCAUUGGGCGUAAAGCGCGCGUAGGUGGCCAUGUAAGUCCGCUGUGAAAGUCAAAGGCUCAACCUUUGAAAGCCGGUGGAUACUGCAUGGCUAGAGUACGGAAGAGGCGAGUGGAAUUCCUGGUGUAGCCGGUGGAAUGCGCAGAUAUCAGGAGGAACACCAAUAGCGAAGGCAGCUCGCUGGGACGUUACUGACACUGAGGCGCGAAAGCGUGGGGAGCGAACAGG